rnacentral:siRNA from 1 species
AUCGACAAUGAUCCUUCCGCAGG